AGGGAGCGGCGUCGCCGAGCCCCGAGGCGGCGGAGCGGCGGCGGCCCCGGUGCCUGCGCCGCUCGGGGGCCGGGCUGGGCGGGGCCGGACGUGAGCGAAUUUCCGCGGGGCCGCCAUGGCGGCAAAAAGUCCUCCUGAUAGCACUCCAAGAAGGCCUGUUUUAUCUGUCAGUGCAAGAAAAAUUAAAGAUAAUGCAGCAGACUGGCAUAAUUUAAUGAUGAAAUGGGAGAGACUGAAUGAGAAUGGAUUUACUACAGCAAACAAAAUAGUCAACAUGAGGAUCAGUGAGCAAUUUCAAGACAACAAACUGGAGAUAGCAUGUGAUAACAAUGCCACAGAACCUGAAAAGCCAACCCGAAAAUACAAUGAAGAGCUGGACAAUUGCUGUGCAGAAUUACUUGAGACCUUAAAGCAUAUGACAAAAAUACAACUGAAAAUGGAAAAGCUUACUUCGACUACUAAAGCAAUCUGUGACUUGGAAACAUUCCACCAUGGAGCUGGGAAUAGCACGGCGCCCUUCUUUCAUACAUGGCCCACACCAUACUUCUAUGAGGUUUCUCUGAAGCUGUCUGAAAUGUACAAGAAGGAACUACAACUCAAGCAAACAAUUGUACAAGACAUUGCUCAUUCUGCUGACCAGGAUCUGAUGAUGGUGUAUUUAUCCUCGUGGCUGUACCAGCCUUACAUUGAGAACAGCAGCAUGCUGCUGCUGGAAGCCAUGCUGCUGGAAACAGGACACAGGCAGUGCUAGAGUUCUAAGGGUUACAUGGCUGCCUUCUAGUGAUGCAUAUAUGAAACUGAACUGCCCAAUUGCAAGGCUUACCAAGCAUGAUGCACUUGCUGAACUGCCUGCAGCCACGGCAGGAUUUGGAGACCUUGAAGCCGAUGCUGUGGCACAAGGAGCCUUCUGUCCAUUCACCAUCUUAGACGGGGGAAUCUUGUCCACAGACACUGAGCCAUGAGAUGCUGAAG